rnacentral:lncRNA from 1 species
GAAUGAGAACAAUCAUGAGUGGGACUAGGUGAGAUGGAGGGGUUUUUUAUGGCAGUGCUCGGGAAUGGAGCACAGGGCCUUGUGUGCACCAAGUAGUCUACCACUGAGCUACUACAGCAGCCCAUAAGAGCAUUUUUAAGAGGAUCCACCCAGAUGCCUUUCAUUUUGAGGUUUGUUUCUCUUCUUCAGCUCAUGAAUUUAAAUGAAUUAAUAAUGGUUAAUAUGAACAGUAGCAACUUUUCAUUCUUUUGUGAACUAAGACAUCAUUCUAUUCUUUCUGGUAAUAAAAUUUUUCUUCAGUAAGCAUAAGUGUAUCUCAGGAGAAGCUGGAAUUCACAGGUGGGGAGUCCAACUAAUGCAGCCAAACAGACUGUUGAAUUCUAGCACACUGAAGGAGGAAUUUUCUCCCGGUUGGUUAUACAACAUUUGUAUCAAAAGAAUAUGGCUGGCUAUUUUGUCAGUCUUUUUUUUUUCAAAUGGGCACUAUCGUGUAACUUAUCACAGUUAGUGAUAUGUGAAUUCUCAAAGUCUUCUCAAAAUUAAAAUUUAUUUCCAAAUUAUUUCCCCAAACAAAAAGUUGUUUCAAAAGGAAGAUUGUUGACAUUCUAUUUUUAAUUGCUCUCACACUCCAUUAGAAGGGGUGGUACAGCUGAAAAUAAGGUUGCCUCCAGGCAGAAUGGUGGCAAGGGCUUUAUCUUUAGCUGUGGGAGACCCCUGUCUCCUCCUUUUUUAGCUCUGACAUUUAAUUACCUCUUGUUAUUCGAUGGCUGCGCAAUGUGACCUUUCUAUCCCUUAUCUUCUAAAAUGUACUUUUCUUCUGAGCUUUAAUAUUUCAAAUUCUUUCUUUUUGUCUCCAUGUGGCUUUGAGCCUGAAUCUAACCAGACCAUCGAAUGGAAAUGUGAAGAGUCCACAGCCAGUUUAAUAGUUUAAUCUUCCAGUGUGGGGCUCUAAGGAUGUACAGACAUAAAGAUGUACGUAUCCUGAUCAUUUCAGCCUCUCAUGCCAGGCGAUUGGUCGGUAUUUCUCUGCGACCGUUUCUCAGGAAGCUCUCUGCAUGUCCCUCUUCAUCUCAGAAGCCAAUUCCAUGGAACCCGAUCUAAAACAGAUGGAGAUGACAUUCAUGUCGUUUAUAAACACUUAGCCAGAGUAAUCUGGAGGAUGUUUUCAGUAAUAAAUUCAGAGUCACACUUUGAACACGAAAACAAGUAUCUUUUCUUUAUUCCCUCGCCUAUUCUAAACAGAUUCUUCAGUAAUUUGAACAAGAUCUAGUCUGUAUUAUGUUAAAGAGAGUUUUAAAAAUAAACUCCACAUUAAUAAUUUGAAAGUCUAUUUUCUCAGUUUUGUAAUUUUUCCUUACUGAUACUGAUUGAUGAUACAACAUAAUUUCAAAUAUAAAAGAAUAUUCCAUUACUGUUGCUUCUUUAAUUAUCCUCACCCACAACUCCCAUCACCAUGAGAGCAGAGCUAUUGACUUACGAUUAUUUAUCUUACAGAAUAAGACUGAAUAUAUACUUGAUACAUAAUUGUUUGCUUUAACUGAUGAAUCACUGGCUCAAUUUACAUAAAAAAUCAAUUCCUUUGCACAUUUUUUCUUAAACUCAAACUUUAAAACUUUUUGACACAAAUUCACAUUAAUUCAACUUCUCCAAAAUGCGUAGCUUUAAUCCAUACAUUCUUGAAAAAACCCUUCACACAAAAACAAAAAAUAUCAUUAUCAAAUGCAUAUCUGUGGCUUAAAUUACAACUCAUACUUGUAGUAAAUUCUUUGUGGUAACAUCAUAUAUGCCAUAAAGUAACACAGGGCUGUGAUGAUAAUUAUGUGCUAUAAACGUGCUUUUGCAUGGGAACUCUGACCUGAUAUGUGAGGCUCACACCCUCUCUGCUAUUGGCAUAGCAUCUACAAUUCCUGUUUGGUCGGGCUGAACCUCUUAUAAUGUCUUAAUUCACUUUUUAAAGUUUUUGUGGUGAAAGGAAGUCUUACUUUUAAAUUCUGAAUAUAUCCUACUUAAAUUGAAACAAAAGACAUUCUUUUACAAUUACUAACAUCUUUUAGAUAUUAAAACAGCAAGAUGUUUGACAUUCUGUUUUCAAGAGACUAUAAAUGAAAGUGUUACUGAAAAUAUAGAUAGCUUUACUUGUUUACAGAAACAUUUUUAUGCCUUUCUUUCUCUCUCACACAUACACAUACAAACACACUCACGGACUAUACUAUCUUAUAGUAUACAAUAGUUUACAAAUUUCUGGGGUUCAAAAUUUGAUAUUUUCAUAAUUAUUUGAAGUAUUUAUUAAACAAAUUUUAAUGUUGCAAAGAUUCUGGUUCAGAAAGAUGGUGUUAGGCUUGGGUUCAAUGAUUUUUCCCAAAACCUCUGAUUUUUGUCAGAAGGUAAUGGCCCUGUAAAGAAUUUGAUAUGAGUAUGUCUAUAUAAUUAUUUUUAUAACAGUGAAUAUACCAGCAGUGCCUAAUUUUAUGGUCCAACACAUUGCAGUAUGGGCUUCUUUCAUACUGAGAUCAUAGAGAUCAUAUAAUACAUCCUGAUAUUCUUUCUAUAUUGGGGCUUAAAGAAUGUUUUCCUUCUAGGAGUUUUUUAGAAAAAAAUAAAGUUUAGUUGUCAUUCUUCACUACUGAGCUGGAUAAUUUAAACAAAUUCCUUUUUUACUUGGUAAUUUCCUUAUUGGAUGAGUAACUGAUGACCUGGGGCCCUUACUGAGGGUAGGCACUUAGGACAGGAAAGAGAGAGAACAUCCUUUCAAAACAGCAGCAGAAAUAAAACUAUAGCAAUGCUGUAAGAACAAACUCAUAGGGAGGCGGAGCUGUAGAGUUGGC